rnacentral:sRNA from 1 species
UAUCGUCUCCGUACGGGAAGGAUGAGAAGCUUCGACUAAGGUUCGAUUCGAACGCAGCGAGAAAGCGUUGCCGCAGGCAACGACCCGAAGGGCGAAGCGCGCAGCGCUGAGUCAUCCUUCCCCCACCACCA